AAGCCAGCCAACAGAUCUGCUUGCCUGAAUGUGUUACUGCAGAGAUCUUAAAAGCUGGCCAUAGUUAAAGCCAUCUUAUAAGCCCUAAGGACACUGAAGUCAUUAAGGUUCCUGAAAAUGGCUAUAACA
rnacentral:snoRNA from 1 species